rnacentral:rRNA from 1 species
UACGUAGGGUGCAAGCGUUGUCCGGAAUUAUUGGGCGUAAAGAGCUCGUAGGCGGUCUGUCGCGUCUGCUGUGAAAACUCAGGGCUUAACCCUGAGCCUGCUUCCGAUACGGGCAGACUAGAGGUAUGCAGGGGAGAACGGAAUUCCUGGUGUAGCGGUGGAAUGCGCAGAUAUCAGGAGGAACAGCCUGAGGUGAAGACGGGUUGCUGGGCUGAUACUGACGCUGAGGCGCGAAAGCUAGGGUAGCAAACGGG